rnacentral:rRNA from 1 species
CCUACGGGAGGCAGCAGUCGAGAAUCAUUCACAAUGGGGGAAACCCUGAUGGUGCGACGCCGCGUGGGGGAAUGAAGGUCUUCGGAUUGUAAACCUCUGUUAUGUGGGAGCAAAUUAAAAAGAUAGUACCACAAGAGGAAGAGACGGCUAACUCUGUGCCAGCAGCCGCGGGAAUACAGAGGUCUCAAGCGUUGUUCGGAAUCACUGGGCGUAAAGCGUGCGUAGGCUGUUUCGUAAGUCGUGUGUGAAAGGCGCGGGCUCAACCCGCGGACGGCACAUGAUACUGCGAGACUAGAGUAAUGGAGGGGGAACCGGAAUGCUCGGUGUAGCAGUGAAAUGCGUAGAUAUCGAGAGGAACACUCGUGGCGAAGGCAGGUUCCUGGACAUUAACUGAUGCUGAGGCACGAAGGCCAGGGGAGCGAAAGGGAUUAGAUACCCUUGUAGUC